GAUGAAGAACGUAGUGAAAUGCGAUAAGUAAUGUGAAUUGCAGAAUUCAGUGAAUCAUCGAAUCUUUGAACGCACAUUGCGCCCCUUGGUAUUCCGGGGGGCAUGCCUGUCCGAGCGUCAUUGCUGCCCUCAAGCACGGCUUGUGUGUUGGGCCUCCGUCCUCCUCCCGGGGGACGGGCCCGAAAGGCAGCGGCGGCACCGCGUCCGGUCCUCGAGCGUAUGGGGCUUCGUCACCCGCUCUUGUAGGCCCGGCCGGCGCUUGCCGACACAUCAAUCUUUUUUCCAGGUUGACCUCGGAUCAGGUAGGGAUACCCGCUGAACUUAAGCAUAUCAAUAAGCGGAGGA
rnacentral:misc_RNA from 1 species